rnacentral:rRNA from 1 species
UUAUACAACUUUCAACAACGGAUCUCUUGGCUCUCGCAUCGAUGAAGAACGCAGCGAAAUGCGAUAAGUAAUGUGAAUUGCAGAAUUCAGUGAAUCAUCGAAUCUUUGAACGCACCUUGCGCUCCUUGGUAUUCCGAGGAGCAUGCCUGUUUG